CUUUCUUUGCUGGCGGCCGGCGCACGGGUGAGUAACACGUAUCCAACCUGCCCUUUACUCGGGGAUAGCCUUUCGAAAGAAAGAUUAAUACCCGAUAGUAUAAUGAUUCCGCAUGGUUUCAUUAUUAAAGGAUUCCGGUAAGGGAUGGGGAUGCGUUCCAUUAGGUUGUUGGUGAGGUAACGGCUCACCAAGCCUUCGAUGGAUAGGGGUUCUGAGAGGAAGGUCCCCCACAUUGGAACUGAGACACGGUCCAA
rnacentral:rRNA from 1 species